rnacentral:rRNA from 1 species
UCAAGUAGGGAAGCUGGCGGGCUCACUGUCAAGAAAAGCCGCUAUUGUUUGUAUUGUACCCGUACCGUAAACCGACACAGGUGGAUGAGGAGAGAAUCCUAAGGCCGACGGGAGAAGCAUUGUUAAGGAACUCGGCAAAAUGACCCCGUAACUUCGGGAGAAGGGGUGCCACAGAAAUGUGGCCGCAGAGAAUAGGCUCAAGCAACUGUUUAGCAAAAACACAGGUCUAUGCAAAACCGCAAGGUGAAGUAUAUGGGCUGACGCCUGCCCGGUGCUGGAAGGUUAAGGGGAGUACUUAGCGCAAGCGAAGGUAUGAACUUAAGCCCCAGUAAACGGCGGCCGUAACUAUAACGGUCCUAAGGUAGCGAAAUUCCUUGUCGGGUAAGUUCCGACCCGCACGAAAGGCGUAAUGAUUUGAGCACUGUCUCGACAAUGCACCCGGUGAAAUUGAAAUACCAGUGAAGAUGCUGGUUACCUGCGCCAGGACGGAAAGACCCCAUGGAGCUUUACUCUAGCUUGAUACUGGGAUUCGGUAUUGCAUGUACAGGAUAGGUGGGAGACGGAGAAGGCAUGACGCCAGUCAUGCCGGAGUCGCUGUUGGGAUACCACCCUUGUAGUAUUGGAUUUCUAACAUGUGCCCGUGAUCCGGGCAGUGGACAAUGUCAGGUGGGGAGUUUGACUGGGGCGGUCGCCUCCGAAAGAGUAUCGGAGGCGCUCAAAGGUCUUCUCAGAAUGGUUGGAAACCAUUCGCAGAGUGCAAAGGCAUAAGAAGGCUUGACUGUGACACCGACGGGUGGAGCAGGUAGGAAACUAGGACUUAGUGAUCCGGUGGUAUAAAGUGGGAUUGCCAUCGCUCAACGGAUAAAAGCUACCCUGGGGAUAACAGGCUUAUCACUCCCAAGAGUUCACAUCGACGGAGUGGUUUGGCACCUCGAUGUCGGCUCAUCGCAUCCUGGGGCUGUAGUAGGUCCCAAGGGUUGGGCUGUUCGCCCAUUAAAGCGGUACGCGAGCUGGGUUCAGAACGUCGUGAGACAGUUCGGUCCCUAUCCGGCGUGGGCGUAAGAUAUUUGAGAGGAGCUGACCUUAGUACGAGAGGACCGGGUUGGACGAACCGCUGGUGUAUCUGUUGUCAUACCAAUGGCAUGGCAGAGUAGCCAAGUUCGGCAGGGAUAAACGCUGAAGGCAUCUAAGCGUGAAGCCCCCCUCAAGAUGAGAUAUCUCAUAGCA